AAGUCGUAACAAGGUCUCCGUAGGUGAACCUGCGGAAGGAUCAUUUGUGAAAAUUUAAUGUUUUUUUUGAAGAGGGGUAAAAUCCUUUUUAGAAAAACAUAAAAAAAAGAGAUUUCUUGUGGUUUAUAAAUGAUUUUUAAAAAAAUUGUUUGUUGUUGAAAAAUGACAAACAAUUAUAUUUUUAAAAUCAAUUUUUUUAUAAAAAACUAUUUUAAACAUGUAUUUAAAAAAUUAACAGUUUUAAAAAAAUAAAAUUAAAAAAAAAAUUAAAACUGUCAACGGUGGAUCUCUUGGCUCGU
rnacentral:misc_RNA from 1 species